rnacentral:rRNA from 1 species
UACGAAGGGGGCUAGCGUUGCUCGGAAUCACUGGGCGUAAAGCGCACGUAGGCGGAUCUUUAUGUCAGGGGUGAAAUCCCGGAGCUCAACUCCGGAACUGCCUUUGAUACUGAGGGUCUUGAGUCCGGGAGAGGUGAGUGGAACUGCGAGUGUAGAGGUGAAAUUCGUAGAUAUUCGCAAGAACACCAGUGGCGAAGGCGGCUCACUGGCCCGGUACUGACGCUGAGGUGCGAAAGCGUGGGGAGCAAACAGG